rnacentral:rRNA from 1 species
AGCAUGUGGCUUAAUUCGAUGCAACGCGAAGAACCUUACCAGGACUUGACAUGCCUGUCGUAUUUUUCUGAAAGGAAAGAGUCAGUUCGGCUGGACAGUGCACAGGUACUGCAUGGCUGUCGUCAGUUCGUGCCGUGAGGUGUUGGGUUAAGUCCCGCAACGAACGCAACCCUUAUGUCUAGUUGCUAUCAGUGGUGAUGAACUAUUGAGCACUCUAGACAGACUGCCCAUGUUAAGUGGGAGGAAGGUGGGGAUGACGUCAAGUCAGUAUGGUCCUUAUGUCCUGGGCUGCACACGUGCUACAAUGGCUGGUACAAUGGGAAGCAAUACAGCGAUGUGGAGCUAAUCCCCAAAAACCAGUCCCAGUUCAGAUUGGAGUCUGCAAUUCGACUCCAUGAAGUAGGAUUCGCUAGUAAUGGUGCAUCAGACACGGCACCGUGAACACGUUCCCGGGCCUUGUACACACCGCCCGUCACAUCAUGAAAGCGGUUUGCACUAGAAGUCAUUGCAGUUUAUGCAAUGCCCAAGGUGUGAGUCGUGAUUGGGAUGAAGUCGUAACAAGGUAACCAAGGGCGAA